GCAAGUCGAGCGAACGGACGAGAAGCUUGCUUCUCUGAUGUUAGCGGCGGACGGGUGAGUAACACGUGGAUAACCUACCUAUAAGACUGGGAUAACUUCGGGAAACCGGAGCUAAUACCGGAUAAUAUUUUGAACCGCAUGGUUCAAAAGUAAAAGACGGUCUUGCUGUCACUUAUAGAUGGAUCCGCGCUGCAUUAGCUAGUUGGUAAGGUAACGGCUUACCAAGGCAACGAUGCAUAGCCGACCUGAGAGGGUGAUCGGCCACACUGGAACUGAGACACGGUCCAGACUCCUACGGGAGGCAGCAGUAGGGAAUCUUCCGCAAUGGGCGAAAGCCUGACGGAGCAACGCCGCGUGAGUGAUGAAGGUCUUCGGAUCGUAAAACUCUGUUAUUAGGGAAGAACAUAUGUGUAAGUAACUGUGCACAUCUUGACGGUACCUAAUCAGAAAGCCACGGCUAACUACGUGCCAGCAGCCGCGGUAAUACGUAGGUGGCAAGCGUUAUCCGGAAUUAUUGGGCGUAAAGCGCGCGUAGGCGGUUUUUUAAGUCUGAUGUGAAAGCCCACGGCUCAACCGUGGAGGGUCAUUGGAAACUGGAAAACUUGAGUGCAGAAGAGGAAAGUGGAAUUCCAUGUGUAGCGGUGAAAUGCGCAGAGAUAUGGAGGAC
rnacentral:rRNA from 1 species